rnacentral:misc_RNA from 1 species
GAAUGGGAUAAGUUAUGUGAAUUGCAGAAUUCAGUUAAUCAUUGAAACUUUGAAAGCAACUUGCGCCUUUUUGUAUUCCGAAAGGCAUUCCUGUUUGAGUGUCAUGAAAUCUCAAUCCCCCCGGGUUUUCUGAACCCGAGGUGGACUUGGACAUGGGUGUCUGCCGUCUCGUACGGCUCGCCUUAAAUGACUCAGUGGGAUCUUCAGCAUCCGUGGCAGACGUAAUAAGUUUCGUCUCGUCCCUUGCUGUGAGGACCGCUCAUAACCUGCCAUCGCGCACCACUUUUGACUCUGACCUCAAAUCAGGUAGGACUACCCGCUGAACUUAA